AUCUUGCAAAAAAAAAAAAAAAAAAAAAAAAAUAAUUAAUACUGCCACCAUACUUUUUCUAGUACAAAAGCAAAGCAAAAAGGCAGACUUUAUCUUAUCAAUAUGAGAAUUCCUUGAAAUGGGUACCCCAUAACUUUCUUUAAGCCUUGAUUUAUCAUUGAUUGCUUGAAUAAUUAAGAUAUGGCCAAAUUGAAAAAAAAUAGCUUAAGUUUUGAUUUAGAAGACAAGUCGAUAGUAUUGUGAUAUGAUCGUUAAAUUAUUCAAAAUAGUCCUUAUCAAGUUCGAAGAGAUACAUUUUUAUAAAAGAAAUCAAUCGUGGAAGACUAGUAUCGACUUCAUAUUCAUAAAUUUUCAUUUUGUCUUUUGGCUACUAAUUUGGGAUGAAUUAUUAUUAAAUGGUCUCAACUCUUGAAUGUCAUUUUUUUAGAAACUUCUAACAUGAGAAAAAUGACAAAAAAUAGGUGUUUGUACUUAAUAGUGUUUUAUUAAUUACUUAAAUAUAUAAUCAUGUCAUUCUUUUAUUUUCAAUUAUAGUUUAGAAAAAAUAUAUGAUAAUAAUAAGACUGAAGAUUAAUUCCUCUUAGGCUUCCACUAAUUAUUUAUUCUUAAGAAUAUCCCAUUGAAUUUAUACAGAACCCAUUAGUUAUAUCAAGGAAUGAAGUAGGAUCUUGAUGAUGGAGGGAUGGCUUUCAUAGUUGCUUGAUUUAAUGAUAUAGAUAUGCAGUUAAAAAAAUGCAAAUAAAGUAGAGGAAAAUGAGAUAAUUACAAGAAAAGAUCAAGUAGUGAGAGAAAAAUCCUACUAUAUCAGACCUCAGGAUGAUAUGAGUCCGUCACAGCCUUCUCAAUGACCAUUUUCAACACUUUAUUCCUUCUUCAAAAAUAAUGAAUUAUUAUGUAAGUAACUAAUACUGGAAAUAAUUAAUGAAAAUAUAUAGGUAUGACAAAACUUAAAAAAGUCUGAAUAAUCGUCUAUAUUUUCAAAGUGGCAUUUCCAUUCCAUUUUUUUUUUAUUAGACUUCCUCAAUUAUGAAUGUAUAAUAUAUCACUAUCUAGCACUUACCAUAUCUGCAGUUCAUUCCAAUGUAGUCUUUCUAUUUUUAUUAAUCAUAAUAAUAGUAACUCUUAUCAUUCCAAUUAAUUACAAUUUUUGCUACUAUUAAUAUGAGUGUAAAUAUAUUCUGUAGUUAAAUAAGUUAUAUUAAUCAAUUAUAUAAUUAUUCAUCAAGACAUAUACGUCAUAGCCAAUUAACAAACAAUAAAACAUUGAAUAAAAACGUGGAGAAGGGAGAUUGGAAUUUCCAAAAUCCUUAUGAGGCUUUAAUUAAGUCCACUGGGUGCUCGGACCCAAUCGAUAGUGGCUUAACUUCACACUUCAAGUCCGAUGUUGGCUUUGAAGAGGAUAUUGUGGUUUGAAACGCUCGGGAGACUGUUUCAGCCUCAGGUUUUGCGGCUGGUUGGGUUAGGAGUGUGGCCUGCUUGACAGCAGGAAGGGAUUCAAGAACAACAGAGGGGAAGGCCCAACUUUAUUAGUGAUGGGAAUUUGACAGGUCUCACAUUUGAGACGAAUUCUUGAGAGGAACCCUCAGAAAUAUACAUGUCUCCAAGAUGGAGCCCAAUGCCAUUGAGAUUUUCAUUUAAGCUUGCAAGGACUUCAUUCCAGUCCUCCUGUUUCAUAGCAAGCUUUAAAAGAUCCUCCAAAUCUUGGUAGUGAUUCCAACGUGCCAUAAUGUCUAUAAACGAAGAAAAGUCAUAUGGUGAAGGGUGCUGAGAAAGCUAAGGAGCUAACGGUGUUCCGUUGUAUAAGUUUUUCCCAAAUGUCAGACUCCAGAAGAGAAAAAAACAAAACACUAAGCACUUAAUAACACUAAAUACACUAAAGUAGGUAAGGGAACAUGAAAAAUGAGAAAAAAUACACGUAUGUUAAGGAACAUUAAUUAAUUAUUAUGUAAUACUGAUUAUUAUCUUAGGUUUGGUGAUUUAAGAUGUAGCUAUUAGCUAAGCACCCAUAGCUAUUACGAGGUAUUUUUAUUGGCAGUUUGGCAUAGUAAGGCAGUGGUAGAUUAAAAUAUUUUGUCUGCUAGUUUGAAGGGAAGUUAUUUUCAACGUCAGCAAUGGAUAAGCAGAUGAUUGAUUCACUUUUUAUAACGUCAUCAUAUUGGAUUAUAAUUUCCCCAGUUGGGAUUAUGCAUAGUUAUUUUUACUCACGUCAUACAUUAAAUUGAAUUAUCAAUAAUAACGAAACGCAAAAUGAAGCGAUUGCCAAUAAAUCUGGAAGAAAUUAAAGUUACAAUAUCAUACAUUGGUUCAAAUACUCUUUUGUCAGACCCUCUGCUAUGGAAUCGUUGAAUAUUUAUAUAAUAACUGAGGAGUAAUACUGGAAUGAAAUAUAUAGCGAGGAACAAAGAGACUGAUCAUCCUUCAAUUGCAUGUCUUCCAUUGGAUUAAGCUUGAAAGUCAUUUUCUGAAUUAUUAAAUGACUUAGUCAUUAUAUUCAAAUAUUAAUAUUUAAUAAAUAAAUUAAGGAUAUGUAAA
rnacentral:lncRNA from 1 species